GCCCGGAUAGCUCAGUUGGUUAAGCAUCUGACCUUGGCUCAGGUCAUGAUCUUGUGAUUCAUGGGUUCUAGCCCCGUGUCGGGCU
rnacentral:tRNA from 1 species